CCUUACAGUUUUACGAUGAUACGAGAGAGAGAAAUAAGGUUACUGUUUCUUAUUACUGGGCCCAACGGUGAACAGGGAAUAUGUACAUCGUUGAGAGACAUAUGAUUCACACCCCUUACAGUUUUGCGAUGAUACGAGAGAGAGAAAUAAGGUUACUGUUUCUUAUUACUGGGCCCAACGGUGAACAGGGAACAUGUACAUCGUUGAGAGACAUACGAUUCCCACCCCUUACAGUUUUACGAUGAUAUGGGAGAGAAAAAUAAAGCUUUGCGGUGAUCCUUCUUCUGUUCUGCUUUGUAUUGCUUCUUGGGUUCUCCUUCUUUUUCCUCUCCUCUCCUCACUUUCGUUAAUCAUCCAUUUUCCUCUUCCUCCUCUUUCCCUUCCUUCACCCAGAGCGGAGGUGUUUUUCCGCUCUCUUCUUCCUCGGACAUUGCUUUUUGACGCACUUUUCUUAUGAUAUCGGAAACAAAAAUUAAGUUAUGCGGUAAAUCUUAAGCACGGAUUCUGGCGCCCUUUUCUUAUGAUAUCGGAAACAGAAAUUAAGUUAUGCGGUAAAUCUUAAGCACGGAUUCCAGCCCCUUUUCUUAUGAUAUCGGAAACAGAAAUUAAGUUAUGCGUUAAAUCUUAAGCACGGAUUCUGGCCCCCUUUUCUUAUGAUAUCGGAAACAGAAAUUAAGUUAUGUGGUAAAUCUUAAGCACGGAUUCCAGCCCCUUUUCUUAUGAUAUCGGAAACAGAAAUUAAGUUAUGUGGUAAAUCUUAAGCACGGAUUCUGGCCCCCUUUUCUUAUGAUAUCGGAAACAGAAAUUAAGUUAUGUGGUAAAUCUUAAGCACGGAUUCUGGCGCAGAGAUCAUACGGGUAAACUGUACAUUGCAACCCGACCGACUGACUGCCUGCCUGCCUGACUUAACCGUAGAUGAGUAACUGUAUAGAGGCACACUAAUACAUUGACGACCUUGGUCCAUCACACCCACAACAUAUCACAUUCAACACUUAGGCCCGCCCUCUGCCCACCUCCAAACACAUCCACUUAGCCAGCGGAUGAAGAGGUGGAUUUACGACACCCCUCCACACCCACACACACCCAUUUAGCUAGCGGAUGAAGAGGUGGAUUUAUGGCACCCCUCCACACACCCACUUAGCUAGGGGACUGAGAGGUGGAAUUGACACCCCUCCACACCCACAUACACACCUCCACUUAGCAAGCGGAUUGAGAGGUGGAGUUAUGACACAUUCCCACUUAGCUAGCGGAUCGAGGGGUGGAAUUAUGACACUCCUCUACACCCACAUACACACCUCCACUUAGCAAGCGGAUCAGGAGGUGGAGUUGUGACACCCAUCCACCCACACACACACACAACCACUUAGCUAGCGGAUCAGGAGGUGGAAUAGCGACACUCCACACCUACACACACACACAUCCACACCCAUGAAUUUAGGGCCAGGUUAGGUUAGGUUAGGUUAGCUGGUCAAACUCUAUCCUUCCACCCAUAUUAGGUUAGGUGGGGUGGUCAAACUAUCCUUACACCCAGACUAGCUUAUGGAUGUGGGUGGGGUAUCCGCACACCCAUUCCUAUACAUUCUGAAACCUUCCCACCCAGUUUUUCUAGUAGGGGGGGGGGGGGGGUGUCAAACUCUAUCCUUACACCCAGGUUAGGUUAGGUUAGGGUGAUUGAGCUCUAUCCUUACACCCAGACUAGCUUAUGGGCGUGGGUGUGGGUGUGGGUGGUUUCUGAACACCCUCAAAGUCAUCCACCCAGUUAUCCGAUGAUGGGUGAGGAGUGGGUGAUCAAACUAUACCCUUGCACCCAGGUUAGGUUAGGUUAGGUGGGUUGGUCAAACUCUAUCCUUACACCCAGACUAGCUUAUGGGUGUGGGUGUGGGUGUGGGUGGUUUCUGAACACCCUCAAAAUCACCCGCCCAGUUAUCCGAUGAUGGGUGAGGAGUGGGUGAUCAAACUAUACCCUUGCACCCAGGUUAGGUUAGGUUAGGUGGGUUGGUCAAACUCUAUCCUUACACCCAGACUAGCUUAUGGGAGUGGGUGUGGGUGUGGGUGGGUGUGGGUGGUUUCUGAACACCCUCAAAAUCACCCACCCAGUUUUCCGAUGAUGGGUGAGGAGUGGGUGAUCAAACUAUACCCUUGCACCCAGGUUAGGUUAGGUUAGGUGGGUUGGUCAAACUCUAUCCUUACACCCAGACUAGCUUAUGGGAGUGGGUGUGGGUGGGUGUGGGUGGUUUCUGAACA